UCCCUCACGGUCCAGUGGUUAAGAUGCCACACUUCCACUGUGGAGGCUCAGGUUCGAUCCCUGGUCAGGGAA